rnacentral:rRNA from 1 species
GCGCGAAAACUCCGCAAUGGGCGAAAGCCCGACGGGGUUACCCCGAGUGCCACCCUCGUGGUGGCUUUUGCCCGCUCUAAAAAGGCGGGCGAAUAAGGGGAGGGCAAGUCGGGUGUCAGCCGCCGCGGUAAUACCCGCUCCCCGAGGGGUGGAGGCUAUUACUGGGCCUAAAGCGCCCGUAGCCGGCCCGGUGUGUCCCUCGUUAAAUCCACGGGCUUAACCCGUGGGCUGCGGGGGAUACUACCGGGC